UGCGGAGGGAUCAUUAAAGAGUUAAAAACAACUCCUAAACCCAUGUGAAACCUACCUUUGUUGCCUCGGCAGGUCUGCAACUUACCCUGAGGGUACCUACCCUGUAGGUACCUUACCCGGUAGUUGCGGGCAUAACCUGCCGGUGGUCUACUAAACUCUGUUUACUAUGUCAUUCUGAAUAAUAUAACUAAAUAAGUUAAAACUUUCAACAACGGAUCUCUUGGUUCUGGCAUCGAUGAAGAACGCAGCGAAAUGCGAUAAGUAAUGUGAAUUGCAGAAUUCAGUGAAUCAUCGAAUCUUUGAACGCACAUUGCGCCCAUUAGUAUUCUAGUGGGCAUGCCUGUUCGAGCGUCAUUUCAACCCUUAAGCCCUGUUGCUUAGCGUUGGGAGCCUACAGAUACCCUCUGUAGUUCCUUAAAGUUAGUGGCGGAGUCGGUUUCACACUCUAGACGUAGUAAAUUUUAUCUCGCCUAUAGAUGAGCCGGUCCCUUGCCGUAAAACCCCCUAAUUUCUAAAGGUUGACCUCGGAUCAGGUAGGAAUACCCGCUGAACUUAAGCAUAU
rnacentral:rRNA from 1 species